rnacentral:lncRNA from 1 species
AUCACCGUAAGGGAAGGAAAGAAAGGAGGCCCAAGUCACUGCAAGGUCCAGCGUCCCCGCUGAGUGACAGCGGGCACAUGGGCGGGACUUAAAAGAGCGGGACUUACAAAGGGCGGGACUUACAAAGGGCGGGACUUGCAAAGGGCGGGACUCCCAAAGUGCUUUGGUAGCUAGCGAGGGCUUUGAGACGGCCGAGAGUUUGAGCGCCAAGGCUCUCUCUCCCCAGGGGACUCUGCAACCUGACUAGGUGCUCCUUCCCUGAGCAUAGUAACAUUCCAGGGAGCUGCCCGGGGAAGCUUAACGCUCGAUGCGUUCACAAUCUUCUACCUAGGGAAUGGUGCCACCCAUAGUGGGCCAAAGAGAUGUCAUGAUUUUGAGGGGAGCUUUUUCUGCUAUGGAUAUGAGACCGUGCUUGGAAGAAAUGAUUUAUUGCAAAUUUACUAUGAUGGACAAUCUGUCUUUCAGGGUGGUAGGAAUGUAUCAUGGUGGGAGAGUCAUGGCAGCAGGCAGCUGGAACAGGACACUAAGUAAGAACACCUUCAACUACAAGCAGAAGUCAAGGAGAACUGAAAGUGGGUCCCUGAAGUCAGCUCUGGAAAACUGAGAAGAGUGCUGCGUGCAGAAUGCUUCGCUGGAUGUUUUUUUCCUCUAUUCUCACAGACAACUGGAACCUUGAGAGCCAAGGGAGAUUGUGGAGAGGAUGUGAGCAGAUGGCCGCUGAGGAUAGCUGACCGGGUGGGUGGGCUGGAACCUAGGCCAGGACCUGCCACCUGAGGAUUGUGCCUGCGAUGUCCAUAUGAUUGUGAACAGCUAAACAGGGAGCUCUGCUCUGUUGAAAAUCAUAAAGUUGAAAAUGAAAAGAGAUAAAACCUUAAGCACAGAAGAAUAUUUUGUCUUUGGUGAAAAGAACAACUUAAGAUUAAUUUUAUUUUUAUGCUGUAUAUGCGUGUGGGUAUGUGCAUGCAAAUUUGGGUGACUCCAAAGGUCAGAGCAUCAAAUCACUUGGAGCUGGGAUUAUAGGCAAAUGAAAGCUGCCAAGCAUAGGAAUCUAACGAAUGUCCUCUGUAUGAGCAGAGAGUACUCCUUACUGCAGAGCCAUGUUUCCAGCUUAAGGAGGGCUUUUAGAAAGAAGAUUGAUAGAGAAUACAUACUUAAUAGUUUGAUGUACUAAAAAGGUUAAUUUUUAUUCACUAUAGACACUAGAAAUAAUAUUUACAAUUUAUAUAAUGCAUGUGAUUAUAGAACUAGAAGUAACAAUAUUAAAUAUAAAUAAAUUAUUGUAAGUCAGAUAAGAGAGAUGGAAACCCCAGUAGGAAAAACCCAUUAAAGUAACUAAAAUGUGGACAAAUGAAGGUGUAUCGUUUAUUUUUACAAUUGUAAUGUUAUAUAAUUAGUAAGCACAGUUUUAUAUAAGAAAGGUGUUUAUUUGCACUAGGAAAAUGUAAAACACAAAGCAGAAGACCAUAUCGAACUAGCACUAAUUUAAGAUUUAGUAACAAGAGCUACCAGGGAGGUGAAGAUAUGAUACCCUUAUAUUCUGGCAGCCUGACAGAAGCUUCUUAAGUUACAACAUCCCCAAGCCAUUUUCCAAAGCCAACUCUCAUCAUAGAACCCUUGAGCUAGCAAAAUACACUGAUUUUAAUAUUGUUUAUGGUUUUGGAAGCAUGGAAACAAACUGUCUUUGUUACAGAACAUGAUCUAAUACCUAUCAUGAUUUACUUUUAAGAACAAAGAUAUAUUAAUGUAUAACACAAUGUAUGUAUAAUUACAUAUGUGUAAUGUAUAUCACAAAG